rnacentral:rRNA from 1 species
GAUUCAUGGCUCAGGAUGAACGCUAGCUACAGGCUUAACACAUGCAAGUCGAGGGGCAGCAUGGUCUUAGCUUGCUAAGGCCGAUGGCGACCGGCGCACGGGUGAGUAACACGUAUCCAACCUGCCGUCUACUCUUGGACAGCCUUCUGAAAAGGAAGAUUAAUACAAGAUGGCAUCAUGAGUCCGCAUGUUCACAUGAUUAAAGGUAUUCCGGUAGACGAUGGGG